rnacentral:RNase_P_RNA from 1 species
CGAGCAAGUCGGACAGCCGCGAGCGGGAACGCUUGAGGAAAGUCCGGGCUGCACAGGGCAAGGAUAACGGGUAACACCCGCCGACGGCGACGUCCGGACAAGUGCAACAGAAAUAGACUGCCGCGCGAGAGUGCGGUGAUGGUGGAAAGGCGAGGUAAAAGCUCACCCGAGGGCAUGGAGACACGCCCUCGCUGUAAACUCUAUCCGCAGCAACGUUGGGGACAUAUAGGCUUGCCCGGCCGUCCCCUCACACGGCUUGAGGUGCGCGGCAACGCGCAUCCCAGAUAGAUGGCUGUACACGGAGCGGUGAUACGCUUCGGGACAGAACCCGGCUUAUAGGCUUGCUCGCGAC